rnacentral:lncRNA from 1 species
UCUCUCCAAAUUAAUCACUCACUGGGUGUACAAACCACACUUGAAAGCAGACCCCAUGCCCAGCAGUAUGUAGCCAACACAAAAGGAACUCAAUGGCAUUUUUGGAAGGCAUUUCAGAAUUCACUUAUCAGCCACAAGAUUGGUUCGUGUCUCGACAUCUGUAGCUUCAGCACACAAUGAUGGGAAAAUAAAGGAAAUCAGAUUUGAACAAGGAAGCUACAUUGUCCAAUAGAUUUUGAGUAGGUUUAAGCAUCGCUACAGUUGGGGUCUUGAAUGGCUUGGUGCCUGCUCUACAAUGUAUUGUCAGGUUGGACAGAAUUGACAGCUUGACAACGAUGAGUCUUCCUAUCAACUGUUGGCAUUUAUAAAAACAGCAUUCCUAGAAGAUAAACAAACAAACAAAUCAAAACAGAUGAGCGAAGACAUGUUUGCUUCAUUGCUGAUGUGAUGGGGAACAUCCAGCUCCUUAACAGUAAAUAUAUUACUUGUAAGGUUUAUAUGUGUAUUAUUUCCACUAAAGAAAGAGUCACUUGUAGUUAGAGUUUUAAGGACCCACGGUGAGCUAUUGGGGGUUUCCAAAGGCCUUUUUUAUGUUGAUAAG